AAAGUAGUAAAGUGAAAUUGUCACGUGCAUGGUCCCCUUGCAUUUACAUAUAUACCAACUUGGUAGCUAUAGAAGUGGGAGGAACACAAGUUGGUAUCAAUUUUCACCUCACGUGCAUCAAAAUGGGUCCAAAGUGUGAAUUUGGCCUUUGCCACUAGCAUGGUCACGCACAGUUUGCAUGAGACUUUGAAGUUUUGAACAUAGAAAAA
rnacentral:lncRNA from 1 species